rnacentral:rRNA from 1 species
UACGGAGGAUCCAAGCGUUAUCCGGAUUCAUUGGGUUUAAAGGGUGCGUAGGCGGAAUGAUAAGUCAGUGGUGAAAUCCUUCAGCUUAACUGGAGAAUUGCCAUUGAUACUGUCAAUCUUGAGUACAUUUGAUGUGGGCGGAAUGUGUCAUGUAGCGGUGAAAUGCUUAGAUAUGACACAGAACACCGAUUGCGAAGGCAGCUCACAAAACUGUAACUGACGCUGAGGCACGAAAGCGUGGGUAUCAAACAGG